rnacentral:rRNA from 1 species
GACGAACGCUGGCGGCGUGCUUAACACAUGCAAGUCGAACGGAAAGGCCCUGCUUUUGUGGGGUGCUCGAGUGGCGAACGGGUGAGUAACACGUGAGUAACCUGCCCUUGACUUUGGGAUAACUUCAGGAAACUGGGGCUAAUACCGGAUAGGAGCUCCUGCUGCAUGGUGGGGGUUGGAAAGUUUCGGCGGUUGGGGAUGGACUCGCGGCUUAUCAGCUUGUUGGUGGGGUAGUGGCUUACCAAGGCUUUGACGGGUAGCCGGCCUGAGAGGGUGACCGGCCACAUUGGGACUGGGAUACGGCCCAGACUCCUACGGGAGGCAGCAGUGGGGAAUAUUGCACAAUGGGCGGAAGCCUGAUGCAGCAACGCCGCGUGCGGGAUGACGGCCUUCGGGUUGUAAACCGCUUUCGCCUGUGACGAAGCGUGAGUGACGGUACUGGGUAAAGAAGCACCGGCUAACUACGUG